rnacentral:rRNA from 1 species
UACGGAGGGGGCUAGCGUUGUUCGGAUUUACUGGGCGUAAAGGGUGCGUAGGCGGUCGGGUAAGUCUGAUGUGAAAUCCCGCAGCUUAACUGCGGAAUGGCAUUGGAUACUAUCCGGCUUGAGGAUGCGAGGGGGGACUGGAGUUCUCGGUGUAGCAGUGAAAUGCGUAGAUAUCGAGAGGAACACCAGUGGCGAAGGCGAGUCCCUGGAGCAUUCCUGACGCUGAGGCACGAAAGCUAGGGGAGCAAACAGGAUUAGAUACCCUGGUAGUCCUAGCCCUAAACGGUGCAUGUUUGCUGUGGACGGAAUCGACCCCGUCCGUGGCGGAGCUAACGCGUUAAACAUGCCCCCUGGGAAGUACGGUCGCAAGAUUAAA